AUUGAACGCUGGCGGCAGGCCUAACACAUGCAAGUCGAGCGGAUGAAGGGAGCUUGCUCCUGGAUUCAGCGGCGGACGGGUGAGUAAUGCCUAGGAAUCUGCCUGGUAGUGGGGGAUAACGUCCGGAAACGGGCGCUAAUACCGCAUACGUCCUGAGGGAGAAAGUGGGGGAUCUUCGGACCUCACGCUAUCAGAUGAGCCUAGGUCGGAUUAGCUAGUUGGUGGGGUAAAGGCCUACCAAGGCGACGAUCCGUAACUGGUCUGAGAGGAUGAUCAGUCACACUGGAACUGAGAAACGGUCCAGACUCCUACGGGAGGCAGCAGUGGGGAAUAUUGGACAAAGGGCGAAAGCCUGAUCCAGCCAUGCCGCGUGUGUGAAGAAGGUCUUCGGAUUGUAAAGCACUUUAAGUUGGGAGGAAGGGCAGUAAGUUAAUACCUUGCUGUUUUGACGUUACCAACAGAAUAAGCACCGGCUAACUUCGUG
rnacentral:rRNA from 1 species